rnacentral:miRNA from 1 species
CAUUGUACAAGGUAUUCCAUUU